rnacentral:rRNA from 1 species
UCGGAAUUGCUAGUAAUCGCGGAUCAGCAUGCCGCGGUGAAUACGUUCCCGGGCCUUGUACACACCGCCCGUCACACCAUGGGAGCCGGUAAUACCCGAAGUCAGUAGUCCAACCUCGUGAGGACGCUGCCGAAGGUAGGAUUGGCGACUGGGUGAAGUCGUAACAAGGUAAC